rnacentral:rRNA from 1 species
UACGGAAGGCAGCAGUGGGGAAUAUUGCACAAUGGGCGCAAGCCUGAUGCAGCCAUGCCGCGUGUAUGAAAAAGGCCUUCGGGUUGUAAAGUACUUUCAGUCGUGGGGAAGGUGUUAAGGUUAAUAACCUUAGCAAUUGACGUUAGCGACAGAAGAAGCACCGGCUAACUCCGUGCCAGCAGCCGCGGUAAUACGGAGGGUGCGAGCGUUAAAUCGGAAUUACUGGGCGUAAAGGGCACGCAGGCGGUUAAUUAAGUUGGAUGUGAAAUCCCCCGGGCUUAACCUGGGAAUGGCAUUCAAGACUGGUUAGCUAGAGUCUUGUAGAGGGGGGUAGAAUUCCAUGUGUAGCGGUGAAAUGCGUAGAGAUGUGGAGGAAUACCGGUGGCGAAGGCGGCCCCCUGGACAAAGACUGACGCUCAUGUGCGAAAGCGUGGGGAGCAAACAGGGAUUAGAUACC